CUCUCCCAUCUUCCCCCCUCUCCACCCAGAGAUGGUUCAGCCAGAGCCCCCAGCAGGAGCAGCCCGUCUGCGUGGACCCCCUGGUCUUCAGAACUUCAGACAGUCUGAGGCCUGGGGCUCCGCGGUUGGCAUUCUGAGCCUGGAUCUGCCUGGGUUCCAUUCCCACCACCAAGGCACGAAGGCCCAGUUUCUCCAAAUCCCUGUGGUCACUUGCUGCUGCCUGUUUUCUGAUGGCAGCCUCCUGGUGGCCUCUCAUUGCAGUCCCCAGGUUCACUCCCCUGACACUCUUUCCUGUCCCCCAACCAGCUCCGAUCACAGACACCUGACCCCGUGGCCUCCCCACCACAUGGCUGGGGAAACUACCUACUCUUCUGCUCCCUGACCCACACCGGGCUGCCACACCUGCUUGGUGCCCCUACGGGCUCCCUCUGUGGGUCACCAGCCCCCCACAGCACCUCAUAGACCACCUCUUCUGGGGACAGCCUCUCUGCACCUCCGCGUGGAGUCCAGGCCCAUCCUCACAGCGUGGCGCCAUGGCUGCCCUCCACUGGGCUGGCCCAGAGUGCCCAGCCCCCUCCUUCCCUGUCCCCUCUCUUGCUGGGCUCAGGACCCCCUGUCUGGACCCCUCCUGUAACC
rnacentral:lncRNA from 1 species